AAAUUGAAGAGUUUGAUCAUGGCUCAGAUUGAACGCUGGCGGCAGGCCUAACACAUGCAAGUCGAACGGUAACAGGAAGCAGCUUGCUGCUUUGCUGACGAGUGGCGGACGGGUGAGUAAUGUCUGGGAAACUGCCUGAUGGAGGGGGAUAACUACUGGAAACGGUGGCUAAUACCGCAUAACGUCGCAAGACCAAAGAGGGGGACCUUCGGGCCUCUUGCCAUCAGAUGUGCCCAGAUGGGAUUAGCUUGUUGGUGAGGUAACGGCUCACCAAGGCGACGAUCCCUAGCUGGUCUGAGAGGAUGACCAGCCACAC
rnacentral:rRNA from 1 species